AUUGAACGCUGGCGGCAGGCCUAACACAUGCAAGUCGAGCGGAUGAGGGUAGCUUGCUACCUGAUUCAGCGGCGGACGGGUGAGUAAUGCCUAGGAAUCUGCCUGGUAGUGGGGGACAACGUUUCGAAAGGAACGCUAAUACCGCAUACGUCCUACGGGAGAAAGUGGGGGAUCUUCGGACCUCACGCUAUCAGAUGAGCCUAGGUCGGAUUAGCUAGUUGGUGGGGUAAAGGCUCACCAAGGCGACGAUCCGUAACUGGUCUGAGAGGAUGAUCAGUCACACUGGAACUGAGACACGGUCCAGACUCCUACGGGAGGCAGCAGUGGGGAAUAUUGGACAAUGGCGCAAGCCUGAUCCAGCCAUGCCGCGUGUGUGAAGAAGGUCUUCGGAUUGUAAAGCACUUUAAGUUGGGAGGAAGGGCAGUAAGUUAAUACCUUGCUGUUUUGACGUUACCGACAGAAUAAGCACCGGCUAACUCUGUGCCAGCACG
rnacentral:rRNA from 1 species